UAGGUUACCUGCGAAGGAUCAUUAAGAUCGACCCCUGUUUCUGAAAUGGGUUCUAUUCCCAAACCGUGUAUACAUACCUUUGUUGCUUUGGCAGGCCGCCUUCUAGGCGUCGGCUCCGGCUGACUGCGCCUGCCAGAGGACCCAAACUCUUGUGUUUAGUGAUGUCUGAGUACUAUAUAAUAGUUAAAACUUUGAACAACGGAUCUCUUGGUUCUGGCAUCGAUGAAGAACGCAGCGAAAUGCGAUAAGUAAUGUGAAUUGCAGAAUUCAGUGAAUCAUCGAAUCUUUGAACGCACAUUGCGCCCCUUGGUAUUCCGAGGGGCAUGCCUGUUCGAGCGUCAUUAUAACCACUCAAGCCUCGGCUUGGUCUUGGGGUUCGCGGUUUCGCGGCCCUUAAAAUCAGAUGCUGGUGCCGUCUGGCUCUAAGCGUAGUAAUUCUCUCGCUAUAGGGUCCAGGUGACCAUUUGCCAUAACCCCCCAUUCUUUACGGUUGACCUGGGAUCAGUCAGA
rnacentral:rRNA from 1 species